AUUUUUUUACAAUCCAUUAAGAUUUGAAAUCAACAAUGGUGGCUUUGUUCUGAAUGACAGAGCAUGAACCAGUUGAAAAUUUUUCCUCAUCAUCAUUGCUUGGAGUGUCCGAUGGAAGGACAUGGAGAGAGAUUGAAACAGGGGUGAUGCUGACGGUGUAGACAAGAGUAUGAUUCCCUGAUAAGUAGUCACUAUUCAUUUGAUUACGGUAUUUGUAGCAAUUCAUUCAUCCCAUUCUUUCACCAUAUUUUUAUUUCAUUGUACACUGACUGGUGUUGGAUUGAAUUCUUUGAGAGGGUCUGGAAGCAGCCUUGGUAUGUACGAUUUUGUUGUAAGUUUCUUGCUGCUUCUCCUAUUCCUUUCAUUU